GUAUGCAGAUGCCAGCUUUUUGCAAGUCAGUGUUCAAAAUCUCAGAAAAUGUGACGUAAAUUCAACUUUGGGGGUCAACUUCCAAGAUCCCAAGAUGCUUCAGGGUGCAGGUCCCGCUGGAGCUGAUUCAGUAAACAGAGUAACACAAAACUGCAGCUAACUUACCUGACGAGGUGGAACACCAGCACCAGGCUGUCAGCGAGUCUUUGGCUGGACCUCACGAUGAAAACGUACAGGUAAACGGCGAUGGCCACAGUCCAGAAAAAAGAGCUGGUGUUGGCGAAAGAGGAGAUCGCUCCUUGAGCGACGCACUCAGCCGAGUCUGAGCGGAAGACGCUCCACACUCCGACGGCGUAGGAGACGGCGGAGAGCCAGUCAGACACCGAGAGAUUUCCAGAUUCUUGGAGGAGCGCUGCAGUCCUCCAUAACAACUGUGUCAUAUAGAGAUGUGUGCCGUCUCCUGGCCUACAUUUACUAUUGCCAUUUGUUACAGCCACAAACAGCAGAAGCAGCAGAGGCUCCGGGGUGAUUCCUGACAUAUUCACCAUUUUCACCAAGAGCUCAGAAACCCCGAGAAAUCUGCAGCUUAAUGAGUCAGGUGUAAGCAGGAGAAAAUGGACUCAUAGUCAGUGGUAGAAGAAUGAAGAAUUAACAUUAUUUUUGCUGGUGAUGACCUUCAUUUAUAUUGCCUUACAUUUGGUUUCUUUUUUUGUCAGAUUUUAUAAGUAAUUUUAAUUACAGUA